rnacentral:rRNA from 1 species
GCCUAUGGCCACGCCGCCCUGAACAAGCCCGAUCCCGGCUGAUCUUGGAAGCUAAGCAGGGUCGGGCCUAGUUAGUACUUGGAUGGGAGACCACCUAGGAAGACCAGGUACUGUAAGUG